CCAAAAACGGAUAUUUAUUAUCCUUCUUAGACCCUAAUUACUACUUUAUUUGAUAGAUAAUAUUACUGAAGAUUUGGUUAAUUAUGGAAUAUAAAUAAAGUAACCAGUUAAUAACAUUAUAUAAUUACAUAAAUGUAAAUAUAGCCUAUUCUUGAUACUAUGGUUUAUAUUGUGCCAGCAACCGCGGUCAAACUCUAAUAGUAAGUAAUAUUUAUAUAAUAUUUCUAAUAAUUACUGAUAUAAACUAAAGACUCUAUGGUAAAAUAUAUUUCUUAUGUUAAAACUAACUAUCAUUAAAUAAUACAAAACUAUGAAGAAAAACUAGGAUUAGAUACCCUAUUAUUCAUAGUACUUUUUAGAUCUUUGAGGAGUACACAAGCUAAACUCAAAAAUAAUGGCGGCUUAUAAAAUUCUUUAGGGGAGCUUACCUAGUAAAUGAUAACCACCAAGAAUAAUGUACUUAGUUUAGAAAAGUUUGUAUGCCGUCGUCUUAAACAAUCUCGUAGAUUGUUUUAUUAAUUUCUAGAAAUUUAUAGACAGAUCUAGGUGCAGCCUAUAGCUAAGUUGGGGCGAGCUACAAUAAUUAAAUGUUUACGAAUUAUCUAUUUUUUAAUAGUUAUGAAGUUGGACUUAAAAGUAAUAACUAUUAAAUAAAAUUUAAAAUAUGAAUUUUCUUUUUAUAAGUGU
rnacentral:rRNA from 2 species